GAUCAUGGCUCAGAGUGAACGCUGGCGGCGUGCCUAAUACAUGCAAGUCGAACGGACAAGUAAGAGCUUGCUCUUAUGAGUUAGUGGCGCACGGGUGAGUAAUGUAUAGCUAAUCUGCCCUACACUAGAGGACAACAGUUGGAAACGACUGCUAAUACUCUAUACUCCUCUCUAACAUAAGUUAGAUAGGGAAAGUUUUUCGGUGUAGGAUGAGGCUAUAUUGU
rnacentral:rRNA from 1 species